GGAUUUUCAUUCAUUCAUUCACUCAUUCACUCAUUCAUUGACAUCACAGGAAUAAAUUACAUUUUAAAAUUUAUUAGCACAGAACACUGUUAUUUUAAUUUGUAAACUGUUUUUCUUAAUUUUUAAUCAAAUAAAUGCAGCUUUGUUGAGACAUCUUUCAAAAAAAAACGUACCCACCCCAAACUUUUGGACGGGGUUGUAUAAAACAUGUUUAAUUUGUUAUUUUUGGAUAUAUCCAUGGAUAUAAACCAUACAUUUUCACAUUAUAAGAUUAUCUGACUGGUGUACACACUGUACAGUAGAGACCACUGGUAAGAGACAAUAUAAAGUCCACUUCAGUGCUUAUUAAACUUUUUACUGUCUUUAUUAAAUUAAACAAAUGACAUGUAUAAAAUCUUUCCUACAAACUUGUAAGCUCAUUUAGCUGAGCUCUUUGUCUUUUUGUCACCAUCGUUGAUCAAUCGAGUUGAAUAGUAUGAAUAGUACUUAUGAAUAGUAAAUAGCUAAAUGAGGCAUUUGUUUGUUUGCAUAGAAAAAGCCAUAUGGCCUAUUCUUUCCUCUGAAUCCAAUCUGACAAAACAUGUAGUGCCUCCAGAGAGAGCGAGAGAAAGAGAGACUGCAGCAGUGCCAGGUGCAGCUCCUGUACUUUAAGCAGAUGGAAAUAACCUUUUCCCAGCAGCAAAGCUGAUAACAUCAGCAGAAGAACCCAGGCAGUCGGCACAAGUGGUCCGUUACCUCUGUGGCCUGCCAUUAUCUACAGGAAUGCUGUCCGUUAUCUCAACAGUACCCUAUCAAAGCGCACCGUUACACAAGCACAGCGUGAGCAAGUACUGGCGCUCCAGGAGAGCAAGAGUUUCUUCUCCUACACAUCCUGAUGAACAAAAGUUAAAGAGCAUGAAAACAGCUCUUAGGCCGUGUCCCAAAUGGCACCCUCAGCCCUCGCGGUCCUCCUCCGUGGUCCAGUCCCAUAUGGAACCCUCAGCUCUCCUCCGUAUCUAUACUUUGCCACGUGGGUUGUUAGGUAACGAUACCCUGUUGUCUUUUGCACCAAUGCAAGCUAUGCAAAGGGGCUUAAUAGAGAUGUGUGAUCUCUAACCUGAGACAUCCUACAGUCAUGGGUACUGUUUAAGAAAAUAUUUAACGCAGAAAUCACUUUAUUUAUUCUGUUUUAACAGAAAGCACAAUAACAGCCUGUUGCAGUUACGCUCACCCACCACAGAUACAGGAUGUGUGAGCAGGUCUCAGGGCAUCCAGCUGUAGGAACGCCAACUUGCAUUCAGCAAUACUGUAACCUUGUGACCUCCAUCGAUUGUGAGAACACUCUUUGAAAUCUGAAAUGACACUACUACUGUCCACAUCAAGUGUUCUAUCUAGGAAAGCUCCCUGUAAUGAAGACCAGUUCUGAAUGUAGAUAAGGUUCAGCUAUCAAGAUCAUGACAAAUAACAUUUCAUUUCAUAGGUAAAAUGGUAAGUUACUGUCUUCGUAAGAUCAGAAUCAGUAAAGAUUUGAAAAUAAAUGGUCAGGUUUUUCUACA
ensembl:lncRNA